UCUUUAGGUUUUUAACAUCGUCUGUAUUGUAAUAGUAUAUACAAUUUUUAAAACGUUAUCAUAGAGUUAACCCUAAAAAUUAUUUAGUACCCGCAUCUAUUUUUCAUGGCCGCCAAUUUUUUGUUGUAAAACUUUUUGACUUAUUUUAUCUGUGAACUAAAAAAAUUUCGGUGGCUGCUCCUUAACUAGGUGAAAAAGAGAGAAUCAACUGAGAGAGCGUAUGAAAAAUUGAUUAUCUUCUACUUGAGUGAAAAUCAAUUGAGUGAAUCAAUUUCUCGUUUGCCCAUCCAUUGAAAAAAUCAGCUAAUCAGUCGAGGGAAACUUCCGGUUCAUCUACCACUUCCCCAUCUUUUUCUUUCACCAAAUCCUCAAACCCUAGUUCCAGAUUUGCCUAUUUAGGAUCCACCAUUUCAGAUCCUGCAUCGUCCGCAACUUCACUAGCCUCUAAACCUGCGCUUCAAUCGACUGUUACAGCAUCAUCUCUGUUCGGAGCCUCUUCUUCCUCAAAUCCACCUUCAUCUCCCUUCGGAGCAGCGCCAACGAGUGCUUUCAAGUCUUCGAUAUUCAAUUUUGGGCGCUAUAGAUGGCGGUGGUUGUUAGUCUCAGUUUUGGAGAAUCAUUUCAACUAGAGAAUUGAUUAGCUCUUGGCAAAGGAGGAAGCUAAUAUUGUUGAUGAUUACGGAGAAGAAGUUUCAAAGAUGGAGGUCCAAGAGGUCCAAGGUGUGAAGAAUUCACAAGUUAAAAACAAGAGUUGUAUGAAAUUUAUUUUUUAUUUUGUCCUUUUACUUUGUAAUAUAGGUCUUUUGUAUAUGGUUUUCAUAUAAAUGUAAUAAAAUAUGACAUUUUUCUU